CCUACGGGAGGCUGCAGUGGGGAAUAUUGGACAAUGGGCGAAAGCCUGAUCCAGCCAUGCCGCGUGUGUGAAGAAGGCCUUCGGGUUGUAAAGCACUUUCAGUGGGGAAGAAAGCCUUGGGGCUAAUACCCUCGAGGAAGGACAUCACCCACAGAAGAAGCACCGGCUAACUCCGUGCCAGCAGCCGCGGUAAUACGGAGGGUGCGAGCGUUAAUCGGAAUUACUGGGCGUAAAGCGCGCGUAGGCGGUCUGAUAAGCCGGUUGUGAAAGCCCCGGGCUCAACCUGGGAACGGCAUCCGGAACUGUCAGGCUAGAGUGCAGGAGAGGAAGGUAGAACUCCCGGUGUAGCGGUGAAAUGCGUAGAGAUCGGGAGGAAUACCAGUGGCGAAGGCGGCCUUCUGGACUGACACUGACGCUGAGGUGCGAAAGCGUGGGUAGCAAACAGGAUUAGAUACCCCAGUAGUC
rnacentral:rRNA from 1 species